rnacentral:rRNA from 1 species
GAUGAACGCUGGCGGCGUGCCUAAUACAUGCAAGUCGAGCGAACGGACGAGAAGCUUGCUUCUCUGAUGUUAGCGGCGGACGGGUGAGUAACACGUGGAUAACCUACCUAUAAGACUGGGAUAACUUCGGGAAACCGGAGCUAAUACCGGAUAAUAUUUUGAACCGCAUGGUUCAAAAGUGAAAGACGGUCUUGCUGUCACUUAUAGAUGGAUCCGCGCUGCAUUAGCUAGUUGGUAAGGUAACGGCUUACCAAGGCAACGAUGCAUAGCCUACCUGAGAGGGUGAUCGGCCACACUGGAACUGAGACACGGUCCAGACUCCUACGGGAGGCAGCAGUAGGGAAUCUUCCGCAAUGGGCGAAAGCCUGACGGAGCAACGCCGCGUGAGUGAUGAAGGUCUUCGGAUCGUAAAACUCUGUUAUUAGGGAAGAACAUAUGCGUAAGUAACUGUGCACAUCUUGACGGUACCUAAUCAGAAAGCCACGGCUAACUACGUG